CACCAGGUUGAUUCUGCCUGACGUAGACGCUAUACUCUAAGAUUAACCCAUGCAUGUUUAUUGAAUAUAAAGAAAAGACGAACAGCUCAGUAACUCUUAUUUGAUUUGAUGUAUUAGGAUUCUAACUAUGUUAAAUUAUAGGUAUCAAUAAUACAAUAAGAAUAAGAUCUAUCAGUUAGUUGUUAAGGUAAUGGCUUAACAAGACUAUGACGGAUAACGGUAUUACUUUGUAAUAUUCCGGAGAAGGAGCCUGAGAGAUUGCUACUAAGUCUAAGGAUUGCAGCAGGGGCGAAACUUGACCUAUGAUAUUAUAUUGAGGCAGUUAUGAGUAGUAUUUUAUAAUUAUUGUAGUAUUGUAAGUACAUAUUACAAGAUAAAUCGGAGGGCAAAUCGAGUGCCAGCAGCCGCGGUAAUACUUGUUCCGAUAGUGUGUAUGAUGAUUGAUGCAGUUAAAAAGUCUGUAGUUUAUUUAUAAUAAGCAUUGUAAGGUAUACUGUAUGGUUAGGAGAGAGAUGAAAUGUGAUAACCCUAACUGGAUGAACAGAAGCGAAAGCUGUAUACUUAAAUGUAUUAUUAGAACAAGGACGUAAGCUAGAGGAUCGAAGAUGAUUAGAUACCAUUGUAGUUCUAGCAGUAAACUAUGUUGAAUCAUAGAUAUAUUUUGAUAUAUAUUUAUGUAGAGAAAUUAAGAUUAUAUUGACUCUGGGGAUAGUAUGAUCGCAAGAUUGAAAAUUAAAGAAAUUGACGGAAGAAUACCACAAGGAGUGGAUUGUGCGGCUUAAUUUGACUCAACGCGGGGUAAUUUACCAGGUAUAACAUGGUAUAAUAUUUUAUCAUGAUAGUGGUGCAUGGCCGUUUCCAAUGGAUGCUGUGAAGUAAUGAUUAAUUUCAACAAGAUGUGAGACCCUCAUUUAGACAGAUGUAGUGAUACAUAUGAAGGAGAGGAUUAAAACAGGUCCGUUAUGCCCUAAGAUAAUCUGGGUUGCACGCGCAAUACAAUAAUAUUUGAUAUUAUAAGGGAUAAUAUAAUGUAAGAUAUAUUUGAACAUGGAAUUGCUAGUAAAUUUUAUUUAAUAAGUAGAAUUGAAUGAGUCCCUGUUCUUUGUACACACCGCCCGUCG
rnacentral:rRNA from 1 species